UUAAUUUAAUUGACCACACAGAAGGAUUUUAAUAACUCUGUUUCCACAUCAGUUAAAAACAGAAUGGUUCCAAGAUGGCGACCAUCCGUUUUGGAGAAGAAGCUGCAGUUCCGUCUGCUGACCGGUGGAGGCGGGAAAGAGUCACCAACAGUAGAAGAAGACGAAGAAGAAGAAGAAGAAGAAGAAGAUGAUGAAGAUGCAAACACACUCCCACAGUGUCUGUACAGACUUUAGCAUUAAACUGUCGACUUUCCGUUAGAAAUUAAAUUCUGCAUCGAUUAACCGACGAACUGUGGAGUUAUGAGACUGACGGAAACGUAUCCGACGAGUUAACCGACGAGUUUGACUCUUAAACGUGUUGAUUGGUCGGUUAACUCCACAGUUAGCCUAGCCUGCUAGCUCCCCGUGCUAACAUUAGCAGUUAGCUUUAGCUUCGACAUGGGACGAGGAAGGGGACCGACCCGGAGCCGACCGCCCAUGGGACCGCCGGGCGAUGACGGUCCUCCGUUCGACAUGGGCCCGAUGGGUCCACCGGGGUGGGGCCCUCCACCGCCGGGAGGCUGGGGCCCUCCGCCGCCUGGUGGAUGGCCUCUGCCGCCGGAGGAAUGGGGACCACCGCCGCCCGGAGGUUGGGGCCCUCCUCCGCCUGGAGGAUGGGGGCCACCGCCGCCUGAAGGAUGGGACCCGAGAGACUUUCCACCGCGGGGCUGGGGACCGAGAGGACCAUCGCCGCCGCCGGGCUGGGGCCGGCACCCCGACGACUGGCUGCCUCCUCACCCCGACGACUGGAGACCUCCGUACCCCGACGACUGGAGACCUCCGUACCCCGACGACUGGAGACCCCCUCACCCUGAUGACUGGAGACCUCCACGGCCUGACUGGAGACCUCCUGAGGACUGGGGACCCGACAGGCCGUUCCCACCUCCUGGCUGGGGACCCCCUGGUUGGGGUCCGGAUCGUCCCCCUGGUUGGGGACCGGAUCGUCCCCCUGAGCCGUGGGGACCCGAGCCCGGUCCCCCCGGACCCGUGCCACCGGUGCCCCCGCUUCCUCCUGUCGGGAUCCCCCCUCCGGACCCUGCAGUCUACGGCCCGAUGCCCCUCCCGCCGCCGCCGCCCUGCGUGCCUCCGGUCGGCUUCCCGGCGUACCCGCCUCCAGGCUGGACGGGAGAGACCAUCGUGGAGCAGCCGAUGCCCAACCCGCCGCCCGACCAGCCGGAGUGGAUUAAAGCUCUGAUCUCAGCGCCGGUCACCGAGACGGCUGCGGGGGAAGCUAAGAAACCUAGCGAGGAGCCGAGCGUCACCAAGGCAGCUGCUGCUGAACCCACUGCCGUCCAGAAGCCCAAAUCCAAACCCAAAUCUAAACCUAAACCCAAACCUGAUACCUCCAGGACCGCCAGAGCGCUGGGCCUGCUGGGAAAACGCACCUUUGAUAAGCCUCCUCCAGGACGGUCCACUGGCAUCAUCUCUUUUAUCGGGCCGUCGUUCGGCUACAUUGAGAGAGAAGAUCUGAAGAAGUUCACCUUCAGCUUUGACGCCUUCUUUGGAAACCCUAAAGCCAUGCAGCCUGGCGUCAGAGUCCACUUCACCGCCUGCAAGGAGAAGCAGAACAGUCUGAUAGCGACAGAUGUGAAAGUGGCUCCAGGCGGAACAGAGAACGUGGACACGGAGAUCUACGAGGCAGUGGUCAGUCAGCCCAUCACGGAGCCUCAGCCCGGCGAGCGUCAGUACCAGGGGCAGGUCCACGUGGACAUCGGGCCACUUAGGACAAACCUGACGUUUGACAGGAAGGACAGCACGGUGACGCUGCUGAAGAACGACCAGGUGCUCAUCAACCUGCUGACCGACAUCGUCACUGAGAAGAGAAGAGCGACCAACAUCAAACCCAAAAUCCCCUCCACCUUCAGCUACACCCACGAGGAGAGGGAGGAGGGUGUCAUCAUCAGCCUGACAGACAAUGAAGGCGUCAUCAAGUCUGAGAAACACGGCGAGCUUCCCUUCGACAUCAAGGAGAAUUUCAGUGAUGUUGAGUUCACUGCCGAGGACAUCAGCGAGGAGGUGGAGUUCACCAUCAUCAUGCUGAGGGCGGGGAAGAGGGCCAUCAGGAUCCGACGGGUGAAGGAACCCCUCCUCCUGACGCUUUCUGCCGCCACCGCUGCUGCUGCUGUCUCCGAGGAGGCUGCCGGCCAAAACACAGACGACGACAACGACAAUGAUGACGAUGACGACGAAAACAGCGAGAAAGACACUUCUCCUAAAGUGACACCCAUGGUGAAGCUGGAGCUGGGGCCCAACAUGAGGCUGGACCCAGAGCUGUACGAGGGCAUCGUCAGCCAGCCAAUCAUAGAGCCCACGCCCACCAUGCAGGGCUACCCGGGUCAGAUCCACGCCAACAUCGGCCCUGUCAGGACCAACGUGACCUUUGACCACAGGGACUGCGGCGUCACGCUGCUGAAGAACGACCAUGUGUUGAUCAACCUGCUGGUAGACAUGGUGACAAGGAAGAGGAGAGCGGCCAACAUCAAACCCAAAAUCCCCUUCACCUUCAGCUACACCAAAGAGAAGAGAGAGCUGGGCAUCAUCACCUUUCUGGGUCCUGAAGAAGGAAUCAUCAACUCCGAGGACCACGGCGAGCUUCCUUUCGACAUCCAUGAGAACUUCAGUGAAACCAAGUUUAACAGCAGCGACAUCCACAAGGAGGUGGAGUUCACCGUGGCCCUGGUGAAAUCAGAGAAGAGAGCGAUCAGGCUGAUGAGGACAAAGAGGGUCGAGGACCAAAUCCUGGAGGAGCAGAAGAGACGGGAGGAAGAGGAGAAGAGGAAGAGAAGGGAGGACGAGGAGAAGAGGAAACAAGAGGUUGAGGAGAGGAAGAGGAGGGAGGACGAGGAGGCGGAGCAACAGAGAGAGGCCGAGAGGAAGAAGAGGGAGGAGGUGGCGGCGGCGCUGGCAGCGGCCCAGUGCAAGUGGACGCCACUUGGCUUCAAGGUGAGGAACCCUGACACGAUGGACGAGAUCAGCAAGGAGCGAUUCGAAGGCACUGUCCUCAAAGCCGUCUCCAAAUAUCCACGUAAGGAGAUCAAGAAGGAGCCCGAGGCGAACAAGGAGGAGCCAGGAGGAGGAGGAGGAGGAGGAGGAGGACAAAUGCUCCCUGGACAGGUUAAAAUCAAAGUUGAGAAAAUGGAUGACGACCAGAAGGAAGAGGAGAAGGACAUACCUGAAGGAGAUGGAGGACAGGAAGGAAAGAAGGAGCCUGAGGAUGAGGAGGUGAAGAAGAACCAGUCGGCUGAAACAGCAGCUGGGAGAAAACCCGACCCAGAGAUGGGUCGACUAGUGAUGACCAUCGACGGUCAACAGAAGCAGCUUCCCUUCGGUCCCAACGACCUGCUGACCACCGCCACCAUGCUGGACGGAGACAAGGUGCGUUUCAACAUCGCCACGCAUCAAGGGACCAAAGAGGAACGAGCGACUUUCGUGGAAAUUCUCCCCGACUCCUUCGAAGAGUCCAUUGAACAACGCCGACACGGCAUCGUCAUCGAGUUCAGCGUGGACUCCGGGCUCAUCAAGUGCACCCAGAACCCUCAGCUGUACUUCCACAUGUCCGAGGUGAUCGAGAAGAAGAGACUGGAGCUGAACGAGAAGGUCGAGUUCAGUGUCGUCCCGCAUGAGACAGCAGAGGGCGGGAACCAGGCCAUCAGGAUAAAACGUUUCACCGAGAGCGUUUUCUUCCCUGUUCGGAAGUUGGGAGGAGUCGGUGCAACCAAAGGGAAGAUGACCAUCAAGCUGGCAAAAGCUUCAGAAGACACUGAGAAAUUAAAACCCGAGACAGACAAGCUGAAGGCGGUGGUGAAAAAUCUUAGAGCGCAGGACAGUAAGACCAGCGUCAGCAGAAGGGACUACUGUGCCAGUCGCCGUAGAUAUGGCAGGAGCAGAAGUAGGAGCAGGAGCAGAAGUAGGAGCAAAAGUAGGAGUAGGGCCAGAAGUAGGAGUAAAAGUAGGAGCAGGAGUCCGCCAAGAGAUCAGUUUGGACGUGUACCCAAAAAGAGACGCAGUCCCAGCAUUGACCGUGACCGUAAAAGCAGCAGGUUCAGGCGAAGCCAAAGCCAAGAGAGGCUGAGGAAGCCCACCAAGAGCCGCACUAAGAGCCGCAGCAGGAGUCGCAGCCGAAGCAAGAGCUCAAGCAGGAGUCGCAGCAAGAGCCGCAGCAGGAGCAGGGAGAGGAGCAGGGAGAGGACCAAGGACAGGACCAAGGACAUCAAGAGGAGGAGCAAAAUCAGCAGAGACCGCGAAGAAAGUCACAAGAGGAGGAGGGAGUUAAGCCCUCCUCUCAGACGUGCUGGAGUUGUGGACGACGAGCUUGCAAGGAAGAAGCGGGAGCUGGAGGAGCUGAACGACAUGAUUGCCUACAAGAAGUCACUGGUGGACCCUGGACAGAGAACAUGCAUAGACUAUGACCACGGCAGGAUCACUGUCCCACUCACUGAGUACAAACCAGUCCGGUCCAUCCUGAAGAAACGACCAGAUGGACCUGAUUACCACCAUCGCCCUCAGCCCUAUGACGAUGCGUAUUAUGACCGGCCAUACAGUCCUUACCAAGAUCGACGCUACAGUGACCACUACAGUGAUCCGUAUGCCAGUCGUUCCUACCCUGAUCGCCCGUAUGGGGAGCGUCCCUACAGUGACCGCCCUUAUGAAAGUCGUCUCUAUGGUGAACCUUCCUAUAGUGGCCCUCCGUCUGCCAGCCAGCGUUACACUGAUCGCUACGAUGUUUAUGAUGAACCCUAUGACGAUCGCUACUAUGAUCCAGCUUAUGCGGACCGACCUUAUGAUGAUCCGUAUCACUCUGUCAGACGGAGCCAAUCUCCAGAACCCCAUGGUCCCUCACCUUCGUCCCAGCCCGGCCAAGUUCCUGCUGCUUCCACCCAACCUUCGUUGAUGCAUACUGCUGCCACUUCAUCUCCCCAGCCCCAUUUCAGACCUCCCUCUCCCACAGAACCUCCUCCUAGAAGCCCAUCUCCCAAACUGAAGACCACAAUACCACACCAGGCACCUCCUACUGUGAAACCACCCCUCGAUCGCUUCCUUGACAUGCUUAAUAAAAAGGUGGAUGCUGAGAAGGAAGCAGAACCUGUUCUUGUGAAUGAUGACCUUCUGCCUCAUGAGCGGGCACUUCAGGAUGGCAGGGGUUUCUCUCGGAUUGUGGGACUGGCUCAAGAGCAGCCCAGCAACAGUCUUGCUCUAGAAGCGAUAAAGACAGAGCUAAGCCCUAAAAGAUCCUCAGUAGAAAGAUCAGUAGAGGAACCAAAGAUCAAGACAGAACCCUACGACAAGAUUCAAAGUCUGCUCCGUACAAUUGGCCUGAAGCUGAGUACAGGAGAUAUGUCCAAACUGGCCAGCAGAGCCCAAGAGAAAAUCUACAGCCCAAAGUCCUCAUCCAUAGAAAGGGAGAUGUUGUCAUCCCCAAGGGAGGAACGGCAGACAAGUAGAACCGGUUCUGUUGAAUCAGAUCACAUCCAUUCCCCCUCCCCUGCCAGGUCCUCCAGUUUAGAGCCACUCAGCAGAUCUAAAGCUGUCUCAGAGUAUGAAGGAUUCCUGGACCAGCAGGAGUUGGAGGCACUUAAGAAGGCACAACAGCUGCAGAGUCUCACCAAGACAAUGGGGAGCACACCCUCCACCACUCCUCCUCCGAAACCUCCUCCUGGGCCUCCGCCUACCCACUACCAACAUCCAUCCCCACCAGUGAACUGGCCCCUUGGAGGCACUACCCAGAUUCCUCCAGAACAGGGCUCCAGCAUGGGUGCACCAGCUCCUCCUGUAGCUGGUCAGCCACCACGAGUUGGACUUCCUGCAGGACCUCCCCCUGGACCUCCUCCACGGCGUCCUGGACAGCCUCCAGGACCUCCUCCUGGGCCUCCACCCCGGCGCCCUCUUGGACAACCUCCUUUUGCUCCACCCUCCAGCCAUACAGCCUUUUCUUUCGCUGGCCAGCCUCCUGCAGCUCCACCCCUUAAAUCUUCCAGUCCUUUGCAGCCUUUAACCACUGCUGCCGGAGUAUCACCACCACCAUCAUCGACAGCUGCAGCAUCAAGUCCCUCAAAUGAUAAUGAAUCAACCAUCUCUACGACAGUGGCCAGGUGCCUGAAGGUCAUAGAGACAGUGAAAUCUCUGGCUGUACAGCCACCAGCCAAACCGGUCAAAUCAGUUCAGUUCAGUUUACCCACUGUCUCUCCACCAGUCUCCAGUCAUCAGACCUCAGUGGAGACAGAGGAGGACAUAAAGAUCAAGCAGAAGGAAAAGCUGGAUUUGUACAACCAGAGGGUUUUGGAAAAGAGGGAGCAGCAAUACAAAGAUUGGCUAGCUCGCAGGAAACAGAGUGGAGAGUGGAAGGAUGUCCCACCAAACCCCCCAGGUAUCAGAUCUUAUUCAGUUACAUACAUACAAUAUAACGACCAACCUUUGAAUUACAGGAUUAUGUGAUGUAAGCACUGAUCAGCUGAAACAUUAAAACCACAGAUGAAGUGAAUUACAUUGAUCGUUUCAUUACAACCCGAUGUUCCUCUGGGAAACUGUUGGUCCUGGCAUUCAUUUGGAUUCCACUUGACAUACUUCACCCACCCAAACACUAUUGCAGACCAAGUACCAUCACUCGUGGCAGCGGCACUUAGAUGGCAGUGGCCCCCUCAGAGCAACACCAUGAAAAUCUGCUCAAGAAUCACCCAAGGAACGGGACAGACCUCGCCUUCAAAUUCUCCAGAUCCCAAACAGACCAAGCAUUCAUGGGAUGCGCUGGGACCCCAGAGGUACUGCUGAUCCUGAGUCAGGCCUCCUUGGAUCAAACAUGGCUCUGACCUGUCAAAGCAUAGGCAGAGGAACUCUGGGGAUGUUCUGCAUUGUCUGGCACCAGGGUGUUGGCGGCCAAUCCUUUGAGUCCUGUGGGUUGUUAGGCGGCAUCAUGGCACAUCCCAUGGAUGUUGGAUCAGAUUGGGAUCUGGCGAAUUGGAGGUCAGGGGGAUGCCUUGAGCUCUUUGUUAUAUUCCUCGUGCCAUUCCUGUGCAGUUUUCACAGUAUGGCAUGGUACACUUCACUACUUCACUUCACCUGUCAGAGGUUUUAACAUUUUGACUGAUAGGUGUAAGGUUAUGUUCUUGGCGUGCUCGACAUUAAGUAACAGCUGCAUGCUAUUUAUGGUCCCUUUAGGGCUAAAGAUGAACACGCUGUUUUCUUCUGUGACUAGACAGGUAUUUUGAGCAAGUUAAAAUAGAUUUCUACCUCUCAGAUGUGGUUACUCAGUUAUUUGAGUAACCACAUCUCUGGAGAUACCGUAGAAAUGUUAAGAAGCUAACAUGAUCGAAGUAUCACCGAGCUCUGUUUGGAUCUUACUAUGAUUAAGAAGGCCUAAUUACCCCGUCAGGCCUCGUGGUAGACACCAGUCUAGUGCGGUUUCUGCCUCUCAGUUGAGGUGGUCUUGCAGUCUCACCGUUGAUUCCCACAAGGUAGGAAGUGCUUUAGAAUUCAGCACAGGAUUUCACUCAACGGCCGAAGCUACACUAAUGUCUCGUGGAUUAUUAUAAUGUAUCUUUAUUUAUUCACUCUGUGAUAGAGAUCAACAGUUAAAGCAAGAAGGUUUGUCCUGGACAUGGCCUUUCUUGUGCUCUCCCAGGUCAACAAACGUGUGGUUGCAUUAUUAAGGAGCUGCAGUCAGCUACAGCAGAACUUCUGACGUAGUAACAGAGCUCCCGCACAUAGAUACUGCUACACCUCGACAUGGAGCCAUAAAACUGUCUUGAGGUUACCUAGCCUUAACGUGCAUUGCAGUGCUAUAAACCUCUGUCAUUCAUCUGCCGCGCUCGUUAGCCGAGCCUAGUGGCUCGCCCCAGCGAUCAAGAAAAGAAGCCAACUGCAGUCUCAACUCCACAAAGUAACAUCUUUUUCCUCUUCAUAUGGUGACACCAUUGGUAUCUAGAUCAUGAAGGGUUCAGAUAGACGUGUAUUUAGUAAGGUAAAAUACUGUUUGAAAUUUCUAGAUGCCAGUGCCGAUGCAAUAUGAGUUUCGGUCCUGAUACCGACACUGUAUUUUCUGAUACUUGGUUAAGGUUUAAGUAAACUAAACUAUGAAAUUGAUCAAAGGUACCUGACAGUUUUCAGUACUUUAUAGGAACAUUUUGGGCAUUAAUAAAAAAAUGUUCAAGGUAUGACACCCAGUCCUGGUAGUUAGCUAGACAUGUAAUUACUCUACUACUUUUCAAGCAAGGUAGUUUCAGUAGGUUUGGGUGUUCCGUUUCCAGAGUAAUUAUUGUUACACUCAUCGGUCAGCGGUUACCCACUUCUACAGAGUCUGAGCCAGGUCACAGUAAAGCUGUUAAGGGUAAGUCAAGUCAGCAGUGUAGCUGUGAUUUCAGGAUAUCCAGAAAUGUGACAUUUUAACAGAAGAUCCAGAAGACUCCUCGUCAUCGUGGCCAUGAAAAGUAAAGCCUUUCUGAUUCCUUUGCAGUGACAGAAGUUAGUGUUGUACACGUUUGGAUAUCCAUUAUCAAGACUAUGAUUCUAUUCCGUUGGUAUUUGUUAGCAGUGUUGUAGUCCAGUCACCAAACCUCGAGUCCAAGUCGAGUUUCAGCCUUCAGUUUGAGCCCAAGUCCAUGUCACCGAAUUGAUUAAUGCAAGGCCAGAUUAGAGUCGUCAGAAUAAUGUUGAGCGGCGGAGUCAUGACCAAGUCCCUGAGGUAAGGAUGGCAUGUCUGAAGACAUUUCCACAUCACUGAAGACAUUUUGGAACUGUAGACGGGCUUCUUAUUUUUAUCCGGCAGAUUACGUCAGCAAUCGCUGGUGAUGUAGCUUCCAAUCUAUGACACUAACGUUAGCUCAGGAAGCUAACGUUGAAUGCUUUCAACCUCAUGUUUCGGUCAUUGGUCAGAUAUCUUUAACUUUGACAAAAUCAUUAACACAGUAAGUGGUAAAUUUUGUAUCUGCAGCCAGUAAAUACUACUUUUGAAAGAUAUGGUCAAUAUGAAGAAUAUGAUGAGUGAUGUUACCGUAGCAUCGUGUCCAAGCUAAUUUUGUUAAAGUCUAGCUAAAGUAUAUCAUAGACAUAUCAACCUAUAUUACCCUCUCAACAUUAUAACUGUAAACUGGGACCUUUGUAUCCUGAGCUGUGAACUAGCUUGUCCUUUUAGUCUGAAGCUGAUGUUAGCUCAGGAAGCAAAGUUGAGAGCUUUCAUCGCCAUGUACGGGGCGUCGGUCAGAUACUGUUAACUUUGAUAAUAUUGAUAACACAGUAAGUGAUCAACCCUGUGUCUACAACCAGUAAAUGGUCAUUACUAAGAAUAUGUGACGUUACUGUAGCAUCGUGUCCAAGCUCAUUUUGGUAAAGUUUAGCCAAAGUCUAUCCCACAUGUAUCAAACCUAAUUACCUUCUAAACGCUGUAACUGUAAAUUAUGACCUUUUGUAUCCUGAGCUUUGAACUAGCUUGUCCUUGCAGUCUGAAGUUAACAUUAGCUCAGGAAGCAAGCAAGAGCUUUCACCCUCACGUCCGGGUCGUUGGUCAGAUAUCGUUAACUUUGACAUUGACAUUAUACAGUAAGUGAUCAAAUCAAUACCUACACCUACUUUGAAUGAUAUGGUCAACAUUAACAACAUGUUGAGUGACGUUAUGUAGCAUUGUGUCCAAACUAAUUUUGUCCAAAAUUGUAUAAGUGUAGCUCAGAUAUUUCCCAUAUGUAUCAAACUAAAUGACCUUCUAAACGUAAUAACUGUAAAUUGGGACCUUUUGGAUUCUGAUCUGUGAACUAGCUUGUCGUUUCAGUUUGAAGCUAAUGUUAGCUCAGAAAGCUAACAUAGAGAGAUUUUACCACAGGGGUCAAGUAUUUAAUGUCAUGGUAGCUAUUCCAUCAUGGGCAUAUCCUUUAAGUAAUAUUACCAAGAAUCUCGUCCAAGCUAAAUAGGUUUACUUUACAAUAAAGUUAGCAUAUCACAUGAGUAUUUUAAGCAUAUUAAUUUUUUGGAUUCUGGGCUGUGAAUUCCCUUUUCUUUUCAGUCUGUGAAAGAAAGAACGACCUACGCUAGCUCAGGAAGCUAACGUUGUAGGUUUAACAUCAUUUAGGUGUCAGAUGGAUAUCGUUAGCUUUGGCAGUUUGAGGCACGACUCACUGUAGUCUGUCAUCGGUAUGGUAAGUAACUCUGUAACUCUAAGUGACUGUGGCGCCACUUUUACAUGUAGUGGUGAUUAUUCUUAACCAAAAUCUAUAAAGUAAUUUGCAGCCUCCACAGGCCAAAUUUUUCCACGUUUUAAUAAGUUAAUUUAACAAGUGUAAUGCGUACGUAUUUUUAACUACAGUACCUGUAAAUGGGACCCUUGAAAUUACGCGCUUUUAACUAACCUGUCAUUUCAGUUUGAGAGCUAAUGUUAGCUCAGGGAGCUAACAUAGAGAGCCUAUAGCAUUGUAUCAUUAUUGUUAUCUUUAGUAGUUCGUUAUUUACGUUUAAGUUUUGAGUCAAUGACUCAGGUACUCAGAUUAGAUUUGAAUGUGAGACCACGAUUCAGGAGGUUCUUUGCUAGGUCAUUGUUCCUGUUCAUAACACGUUUCGAUGGUUUAUAAUUCAGAAUACGAUGCUAACAGGUAUUAGAGGCAUCGUUGGGCUCAAGGAUGUCACCCAGAUUAUGUUUUUAGUCAAUUUUUUGCUUUUGUUUCAGUCUGAAUCAGCACAAACUCCGACUGUAGUGUCUCAGUCGGUGUUUGAACUCAGUUCCAUCAUCCAAACUUCAGUAGGCCAUCCGUCAUUCCUCUCACUUCUGUGCAUUUAAAUCCGCCGUGAUCACACAGCGAGUCUCAUCUUUGCUUUUACAUGUGCUGCUCAGGUAACUCCUGCUUACAUGUCACAGUCCUGUGGCCGUCACAGGACAAACAAUCAGACUACCAGUUUAGAUCAGAUUGAGGUGGAGACAAGGGGAUCCAGUAUGGAGUCAGCGAACAGAAAUGGAAAAUGAUAAAUGACCUAAAAAAAAAGGUGUAAGAUGAUUUUUUUUUAAAUGUUACAGAUAGAUGGGCCAUUUAAUCAACUUUUCAACCACCCAUCAGUCCAUCACCAGCCUACCAAUGCAGCACGCCCGUCACCAGCGAGCCCAAGAACGUUUGGAUCUGUGGUCAUUCGCUGGUGUACUGGGCCGAGUCACGGGCCAAGUCUCCGGAGGUAGGUAUGCAGCUGGGCAUGGACCCCAGCAAGGUGGCCAUCUGGU